rnacentral:rRNA from 1 species
GAUGAACGCUGGCGGCGUGCCCAAUACAUGCAAGUCGAGCGAACGGACGAGAAGCUUGCUUCUCUGAUGUUAGCGGCGGACGGGUGAGUAACACGUGGAUAACCUACCUAUAAGACUGGGAUAACUUCGGGAAACCGGAGCUAAUACCGGAUGAUAUUUUGAACCGCAUGGUUCAAAAGUGAAAGACGGUCUUGCUGUCACUUAUAGAUGGAUCCGCGCUGCAUUAGCUAGUUGGUAAGGUAACGGCUUACCAAGGCAACGAUGCAUAGCCGACCUGAGAGGGUGAUCGGCCACACUGGAACUGAGACACGGUCCAGACUCCUACGGGAGGCAGCAGUAGGGAAUCUUCCGCAAUGGGCGAAAGCCUGACGGAGCAACGCCGCGUGAGUGAUGAAGGUCUUCGGAUCGUAAAACUCUGUUAUUAGGGAAGAACAUAUGUGUAAGUAACUGUGCACAUCUUGACGGUACCUAAUCAGAAAGCCACGGCUAACUACGUG